CCUUUCUUGCAGGUAAGGACUAUGUGUGUUUCCUUUGGUUGGUUUAGUUUGCAUUAGACAGAGUAGGACCUGCUAGAUAUGGGGUACACUGGCGUUGUGGCAGGCUUAUGCAAUGUAUGAUCAUAUAAUGUAACCAAAUCCCAAUACUUUUCAUACAUAGUGCUUAGUUAUGUCUCCUCUUGUUUUGCCUAUCAUAUCUUGUCUUGUUUUUAUUUUGUAUUCCCAGUCCAUGUACAGUCCUUUCCUGCCCUGUUCUUGUUUUCCUCAUGUCCUGUGUACAUGUUCUGGGUUCUGCUUUCUGUCCUGCUCUGAUUCUGGGUUCUAUUAGUUCUGUCUUGUUUUCAUGUUUGGUGACUAUACUAG